CAGCCAUGGGAGAAGACCUAGCUUCUUCAGCAACUCAGGGGACUGUGGGAAAAGAAGACGAAGACGAGAGGCUCCUCUAUUUAAGUCUGCAAGUGCUGGGAUGUUCUCCACUCUUCUCGCCGCACCUUUCCAGUACGCGGACCUCGCAGCUGUACGCGGACCCGCAGCGGUAAGGGGACCCCGCAGUGAUACGCGGAGCCGCAGCUGUACGCGUAGACGCUGCCGUGACACAGAAGCUCUUGGUGGAUAAUCGACAUUUCACUGAAGAUCAGCUUCAGGACUCGCAGGGUGUGUGUGGCCUGAGGACCAAUCAAGGCAUGUUGGUUAUCAUCUGGAGAUCUUACCAAACGUGCACAGCGGGAAUCAUCUUAACUUUGCUGUAAUUAUUGCAUAUAAGAGGACAGCAGCAUAGGGCUCGGCCCACUGGUGUGUAUCCUGACAUCGAGCCGGAGCACUUUGUAUACGUACCCCCCACCCUCUCAUAAAUCUGCGGCAGUAACACAAGGACUUUAUAUACAAUUUGCGUUUUGUUUUGAUGAUUUUCCCCUUUAUUUUUAAUUAUUAUGAACAUUAGGCAUCAAUUAUGGUAUUUAUCCUUAAUUUGAUUUGAUUGGCGCUUCCCUCUUUGUAGAUAAAGAAUACUACUCGCAAGAUUUAUUAGGUGUACUCUUUGUGUGAUAUCAGUUAUUUUCUAUUCUGUUUAUGGAUGCAACUUAUCUGUAAUAAUACAUUAAAAAAUAGAGAUUCAAAUUUAAUGUAUUUCACUGGGCUAAUUUAGUACUGUUAAUGUAGAUUUCAAUAUUAUUGACUUGAAGAUAAUUGAUUCAUCCUCUUUGCUUUUAUGGGGAGAUUUUCCAUCAUAGAAGGGGUGGGGGGUUGGCGGCACAGAGUC